rnacentral:rRNA from 1 species
UACGAAGGGGGCUAGCGUUGCUCGGAAUUACUGGGCGUAAAGCGCACGUAGGCGGCUUUUUAAGUCGGGGGUGAAAUCCUGGAGCUCAACUCCAGAACUGCCUUCGAUACUGGGAGCUCGAGUCCGGGAGAGGUGAGUGGAACUGCGAGUGUAGAGGUGAAAUUCGUAGAUAUUCGCAAGAACACCAGUGGCGAAGGCGGCUCACUGGCCCGAUACUGACGCUGAGGCACGAAAGCGUGGGGAGCAAACAGG